GACGGGGCCCGCACAAGCGGUGGAGCAUGUGGUUUAAUUCGAUGAUACGCGAGGAACCUUACCUGGGCUCAAAUGUAUGUUGACGUAUUCUGAAAGGGAUACUUCUUCGGACAAUAUACAAGGUGCUGCAUGGUUGUCGUCAGCUCGUGCCGUGAGGUGUCGGGUUAAGUCCCAUAACGAGCGCAACCCCUAUCACUAGUUGCCAUCAGGUCAAGCUGGGGACUCUAAUGAAACUGCCUACGCAAGUAGUGAGGAAGGUGGGGAUGACGUCAAAUCAGCACGGCCCUUACGUCCAGGGCUACACACGUGCUACAAUGGCCGGUACAAAGGGCAGCUACCUGGUGACAGGAUGCUAAUCUCAAAAGCCGGUCUCAGUUCGGAUCGGAGUCUGCAACCCGACUCCGUGAAGUUGGAUUCGCUAGUAAUCGCGCAUCAGCCAUGGCGCGGUGAAUACGUUCCCGGGCCUU
rnacentral:rRNA from 1 species